UUCUGACCGUAAACGAUGCCAACUAGCGAUCCGCCGGCGGAUCAUUCGCCCUGGUGGGGAGCUUCCCGGAAACGAAAGUCUUCCGGUUCCGGGGGAAGUAUGGUUGCAAAGCUGAAACUUAAAGGAAUUGACGGAAGGGCACCACCAGGAGUGGAGCCUGCGGCUUAAUUUGACUCAACACGGGGAAACUCACCCGGCCCGGACACCGCGAGGAUUGACAGAUUGACAGCUCUUUCAUGAUUCGGUGGAUGGUGGUGCAUGGCCGUUCUUAGUUCGUGGAGCGAUUUGUCUGGUUUAUUCCGAUAACGAGCGAGACUCUAGCCUGCUAAAUAGUUGGGACAUUCCUUGUGUGUGUCCCCAACUUCUUAGAGGGAUUUUCGGCGUUCAGCCGCACGACAUUGAGCAAUAACAGGUCUGUGAUGCCCUUAGAUGUCCGGGGCUGCACGCGCGCUACACUGGCGAAGGCAGCGUGCCUGUCCUGUCCCGACAGGGAUGGGUAAACCAUUGAAAAUUCGCCGUGAUUGGGAUCGGAAAUUGCAAUUAUUUUCCGUGAACGAGGAAUUCCAAGUAAGUGCGAGUCAUCAACUCGCGUUG
rnacentral:rRNA from 1 species